GCAAAACGCGAAGAACCUUACCUAGACUUGACAUCCCCUGAAUUACCUGUAAUGAGGGAAGUCCCUUCGGGGACAGGGAGACAGGUGGUGCAUGGUUGUCGUCAGCUCGUGUCGUGAGAUGUUGGGUUAAGUCCCGCAACGAGCGCAACCCUUAUCAUUAGUUGCUACCAUUAAGUUGAGCACUCUAAUGAGACUGCCCGGGUUAACCGGGAGGAAGGUGGGGAUGACGUCAAAUCAUCAUGCCCCUUAUGUCUAGGGCCACACACGUGCUACAAUGGUGAGUACAACGAGAUGCGAACCCGCGAGGGGGAGCUAAACUCAAAAACUCAUCUCAGUUCGGAUUGCAGGCUGCAACUCGCCUGCAUGAAGCUGGAGUUGCUAGUAAUCGCGAAUCAGAAUGUCGCGGUGAAUACGUUCCCGGGUCUUGUACACAC
rnacentral:rRNA from 1 species